UGGGGCGUCGCCAAGUGGUAAGGCAGGAGCCUUUGGAGCUCCCAUUCAGGGGUUCGAAUCCCUUCGCCCCAGCCA
rnacentral:tRNA from 1 species